ensembl:lncRNA novel transcript
GAAACAAAUGCUCCUUCCAGCAGCAGCAGAGAGCUGUAGAGCCGGGGCUCCGGGCAGCUUCUGAAUCCAGCUCCCAGGCCACAGAUCACAGGGACAGGACGGGAGCCUCCCACACAGACGCCAGGCAGCAGGACCCCGGUGUGCAGAGCCCCCCCGACCACAACCCACCGCCAUGUCUGUUCCCAAGCUGGGAAGUCACAUCCAAAGGACAGAACCACCUGCCCAAGUCCCCUCCACUUCUGAGAACCACCUGCCCAAGUCCCCUCCACGUCUGAGAACCACCUGCCCAAGUCCCCUCCACAUCUGAACACUCAUUGCUGUGUCCGGACGCAGAAAUUCACACUCGGAUUUUGUCCGGCAUUCCCACUCCCUGCCCUGCUUGGAGAGGCAGGACCGCAGGUCUGCCGGCCCCAACGGCAGCGCCACAGUGCCCGGCACAGAGGCCUGCUGGUCGCGCAUACAAAGCACCCGCCGGCCAUUAUCAUUCCGGAGCCGGCCAGAGCCUCCCGGCUGCAUCUCAUCGGUCAUUCAGCAGCCCGUAAUGACUUGUCAGUUCCUUGCCCUGCCAUUUUCUGUCUAAUUAAUUCUUUUAUUGUGCACCGGAUAAAGAAAGACAAAGGCCUCGCCGGCAA